rnacentral:rRNA from 1 species
UACGGGGGGAGCAAGCGUUGUUCGGAUUUACUGGGCGUAAAGGGCGCGUAGGCGGUCGUGACAAGUCACUUGUGAAAUCUCCGGGCUUAACUCGGAACGGUCAAGUGAUACUGUCGGACUAGAGUACAGAAGGGGCAACUGGAAUUCUCGGUGUAGCGGUGAAAUGCGUAGAUAUUGGGAGGAACACCAGUGGCGAAGGCGGCUCACUGGACCGGAACUGACGCUGAGGCGCGAAAGCGUGGGGAGCAAACAGG